GUCCAGACUCCUACGGGAGGCAGCAGUGGGGAAUAUUGCACAAUGGGGGAAACCCUGAUGCAGCGACGCCGCGUGAGCGAUGAAGUAUUUCGGUAUGUAAAGCCCUCUCAGCAGGAAAGAAAAUGACGGUACCUGACUAAGAAGCCCCGGCUAACUACGUGCCAGCAGCCGCGGUAAUACGUAGGGGGCAAGCGUUAUCCGGAUUUACUGGGUGUAAAGGGAGCGUAGACGGCAGUGCAAGUCCGGAGUGAAAGCCCGGGGCUCAACCCUGGGACUGCUCUGGAAACUGUAAAGCUGGAGUGCGGGAGGGGCAGGCGGAAUUCCUGGUGUAGCGGUGAAAUGCGUAGAUAUCAGGAGGAACACCGGCGGCGAAGGCGGCCUGCUGGACCGUAACUGACGUUGAGGCUCGAAAGCGUGGGGAGCAAACAGGAUUAGAUACCCCCGUA
rnacentral:rRNA from 1 species